UUGGUUCAAGGUGGAAUUGGAAUGGAUAAUGGAAUAGGAAUGAAUUGGAAUGGUAAUUGGAAUGGCCCACUCUCCCAAGACGUUUGGUUUAUUUGUGAAUUGGGAAUUGGAAUGAGUUAUUCACAUUUCAUUGUUUGGUUCGUAUAAACUAAAAAAAUUAUAGGAUACUAUAAUACUAAUUUUACUCUCAAAUAUAAAUUUAUAUUAUUUAAAAUUUAUGAAAAAUAUAAACUUUUAUU
rnacentral:lncRNA from 1 species